rnacentral:rRNA from 1 species
GCAAGAUGAGAGUUUGAUCCUGGCUCAGGAUGAACGCUGGCGGUAUGCCUAACACAUGCAAGUCGAACGAACUCUUCGGAGAGAGCGGCGGACGGGUGAGUAACACGUAAGAAUCUGCCUUUUGGUCGGGGAUAACAGUGGGAAACUACUGCUAAUACCGGAUGAGCUGAGAAGUAAAAGAUUUAUUGCCAAAAGAGGAGCUUGCGUCUGAUUAGCUAGAUGGUGGGGUAAGAGCGUACCAUGGCAACGAUCAGUAGCUGGUCUGAGAGGAUGAGCAGCCACACUGGGACUGAGACACGGCCCAGACUCCUACGGGAGGCAGCAGUGGGGAAUUUUCCGCAAUGGGCGAAAGCCUGACGGAGCAAUACCGCGUGAGGGAGGAAGGCUCUUGGGUUGUAAACCUCAAAACUUAGGGAAGAAAAAAAUGACGGUACCUAAUAUAAGCAUCGGCUAACUCCGUGCCAGCAGCCGCGGUAAUACGGAGGAUGCAAGCGUUAUCCGGAAUCAUUGGGCGUAAAGAGUCCGUAGGCGGCUAAUCAAGUCUGCUGUCAAAAACCGAAGCUCAACUUCGGGAAGGCGGUGGAAACUGAAGAGCUAGAGUACAGUAGGGGUAGAGGGAAUUCCCAGUGUAGCGGUGAAAUGCGUAGAGAUUGGGAAGAACACCAGUGGCGAAGGCGCUCUACUGGACUUGUACUGACGCUGAGGGACGAAAGCUAGGGUAGCGAAAGGGAUUAGAUACCCCUGUAGUCUUAGCAGUAAACGAUGGAUACUAGGCGUAGCUUGUAUCGACCCGAGCUGUGCCGAA